GUGACACCAGCUUUACCGAUACCCAACCUACCACCUACAACCUACAACCUAAAACCUACAUUCAAUGUUGGCGGGUGGUGAUAAUUGUUAUACCUAUAUGAUAAUACUGGAGAUAAAUACCAUACAGAUUAGCUGGUAUCCAUGACACACUUUCUUAAGAAGAAGGUCUUCUAUUAAAUCAUGUCUAUAUUAUAGGAAUCAAAUGAUUUUUGUUGUAGUCACAUUCCCUACUCUGACCAUCAUGUCUGAUUAUUUCCAGUUACCACUGACAAUGCCCAAAACAAGAACAACAAAGGCCCAAAGGUGGCUGUUUGGUAGUGCGCAAAGCUGCUGGUGGUGGUGGACGUCUCUGCCCUGACGCGCGGCGUGCGUCUGCUCAGUGUGGAGGUGCCGCUGACAGCGGUGCCGGCCGGACCGGCUGCCUCUCCGGCGGCCGACAUUGAGCGCGGCACGUGUCCGCCGCCGUUCGGGCCGCUGCAGCUGCUGCAGUCGGCGGCGCAGCUGUCCGUCUCCGUGUCGCUGGCCGUGCCGCUGGACCUGCUGCCGCGGCCGGCGCCGGCGCGCUGCGCCUACGGCCGCCUGCUGGCCGUGAGCCGUCGUCUCGCAGCGCGGCCUGCAGCGCAGCGGCGUGCCGCAGCUCAUCCAGCAGCUCAACGAGCCGCCCAGCCCGGCGGCGGCCGAGGGCGCCGCGCCGCGCCGGCCCGGCGACGUCAGCACACCUGGCAUCAGCGGCUUCUGCCUGGCCGACCGUCAGCUGCACCUGCUGUUCGCCGAGGGGCGCGCCGACGCCGAGCUGGAACAGACGGCGGCCGCGCCGCGCGCUCUGCCGCGCCGCGACGCUCGACUCUGCCACCACUCGGGCUUGCUGUUUAGGGAGCGCCUGUACCCGCGCCAGCCGGCCGUGUUCCGCGUGCUCGAGGACCGCCCGCUACGCGCCCAGCUGCUCGACACCCGCCUCUACACGUUACAGAAACAGGAGCCGGCGCGCGCCGUCCGCGCCAUCAGAGAGUGCUUCCGCACGCAGUGGCUGUCGGAAAAUGAACCUGCUUCCCAACGAGGCCGGCCUGCAACAACUGCUGGCCGGCUGUUGGCCGAAAAAAAAACGCUUUCAACCGGAUGUCAGUUGUCAAAUCAACGCGUAGUAAUGCAUUCACUAGGAUGGGCUUACGUAAAGCUGUAGAAUUGCAAAUAUAUAAUGGCACUGUUUUUUAUCCGUUCGGUAUGCAUUGGUAUCAUAUGAUCUCUCAUUCACAGACGAUCAGCUGCGAAGACCCAGAUCCGUAGUAGAGGGCUCAUCGAGUCUGGGUCCAGCUCCCCGUACUUCCUCCACUUUGGAAACACCGCAGCGCAGACCACAGUUAUACAUAAUAUUUAGUUUUCAUUCACUUCAUAACCGAAGGUUGUUUGAUAGGUGAUAUGCUGCUUGAGUUGCACCCCGGUAUAUCAAUACGAAGCUUCCGUCCCUGCCACAUACCAGUGAAGGAGGCGGCGGCGGCGGCGGCCGGGGCCGGGCUGCCCUGCCCACCGACACAGUCUGUGAAAUGCCCCAACAACCUUUAAAAUUCAACAGGCUUCAUAAAUGUUUUUUGCACCAUAUUUUCUCGCGUAUAUGAAAGCUCUAAAAUGUACAAUAUUCCUUUCAGCCGCAAGCGAUAUAAAAGCUCUACAAAACGUCAUGUCUCUGUGUGCAAGAAAGACACAUAUAUUGUGUAUAAUCGAGCGUACAUGAUCUGCAGCGCUGCGGAGGGCUGCUCGGUUGCCGCUUUUUACCAGUCGGCUCUAGGUCGGACAUAUGGGUAAACAAAAUGGAAUAGUAAUAUUAAACAAUGCUACCUGCUGAUGCUACUGGGCCUCUCAUUGGUGAAGAACUGGCAGCCAGCCAGCGUGUUUUUGUGAGAACUGUUUUAACAGCAGCAACCGAACGGCUCUCGGGCCAGCGACCAGUGAGCGUAGACAGCACAGCGCUCCGUUAGGCAUCGGCGGGCAAGCACGCAUUAGCUGUGGACGGACCGGCCGCCC
rnacentral:lncRNA from 1 species